rnacentral:rRNA from 1 species
UACGGAGGGGGCUAGCGUUAUUCGGAAUUACUGGGCGUAAAGCGCACGUAGGCGGAUCUGCAUGUCAGAGGUGAAAUCCCAGGGCUCAACCUUGGAACUGCCUUUGAAACUGCGGGUCUUGAGUUCGAGAGAGGUGAGUGGAAUUCCGAGUGUAGAGGUGAAAAACGUAGAUAUACGGAGGAACACCAGUGGCGAAGGCGGCUCACUGGCUCGAAACUGACGCUGAGGUGCGAAAGCGUGGGGAGCAAACAGG